rnacentral:rRNA from 1 species
GCCUCAGUAACGGCGAGUGAACGGCAACAGCUCAAAUUUGAGAUCUGGCCUCCUUUGGGGGUCCGAGUUGUAAUUUGCAGAGGAUGCUUUGGCAUUGGCGGCGGUCUAAGUUCCUUGGAACAGGACAUCGCAGAGGGUGAGAAUCCCGUACGUGGGCGCCUGCCUUUGCCGUGUAAAGCUCCUUCGACGAGUCGAGUUGUUUGGGAAUGCAGCUCUAAAUGGGAGGUAAAUUUCUCCUAAAGCUAAAUACCGGCCAGAGACCGAUAGCGCACAAGUAGAGUGAUCGAAAGAUGAAAAGUACUUUGGAAAGAGAGUCAAAUAGCACGUGAAAUUGUUGAAAGGGAAGCGCUUGCAGCCAGACUUGCCCGCAGUUGCUCACCUAGGCUUUCGCCUGGGGCACUCUUCUGCGGGCAGGCCAGCAUCAGUUUGGGCGGUCGGAUAAAGGCCUCUGUCAUGUACCACCCCUCGGGGUGGCCUUAUAGGGGAGGCGUAAUGCGACCAGCCCGGACUGAGGUCCGCGCAUCUGCUAGGAUGCUGGCGUAAUGGCUGUAAGCGGCCCGUCUUGAAACACGGACCAAGGAGUCUAACAUCUAUGCGAGUGUUUGGGUGUCAAGCCCGGGCGCGCAAUGAAAGUGAACGGAGGUGGGAACCCUUCGGGGUGCACCAUCGACCGAUCCUGAAGUCUUCGGAUGGAUUUGAGUAAGAGCAUAGCUGUUGGGACCCGAAAGAUGGUGAACUAUGCUUGAAUAGGGUGAAGCCAGAGGAAACUCUGGUGGAGGCUCGCAGCGGUUCUGACGUGCAAAUCGAUCGUCAAAUUUGGGCAUAGGGGCGAAAGACUAAUCGAACCAUCUAGUAGCUGGUUCCUGCCGAGA